AUGUCCAAGUCCAGGACCGUCUCUCUGCUGCUGGGUACAGUGGAAACGGAUACCUGCGAGGGCCCGAGAGCUGGGAGAUUAAGUUCUGAGCAUCCGCCAUUUGGACCAAAGACUUCCCCUAUUAGCGGUCCUCGAGGAGCAGUUGCGCAGCCUGGCACACAUUGUGCAGCUGCACUUCCCAUUGAUCUACUGGGCUGCCUGGAUGGCUGGCUGGAGGGAGAUAGAUUGGAGGGGAAACGGCUUAAUUGUCCUCACUCUCACUGCUGGAAUGCAAAUAGCCCACCACCACUGGCCUCCACUGUGAGGAAGCCCCACGUUGAGAAGGCAAGUUACUUUUUAUAGUGGCAAAGAAUUGAUAAUAUGUUUUUUAUCAGAGCACGUAGACUCACUGACGGAUUUGGUUCAAAUGAAUUUUGGUUCUAUAAAUAUAAAAAAUAAACCCAACGUACAGUUUUGCAUUGGAAUUUUUAUUUUCCCCGUUGAAUUUUGUUCCAAUAAAGAAAAAUGUCAGCCUCACAGAGUGCCUAUACCAUUCGUCAGUCAGAGGUCAAGCAGAUAGUCAGGUGAAGGGUCGUGACUCACGUAGGAAAGGCAGGAGAUGAAAGAGUUAAAACGCUGAGGCGUAUGUAUCCUGUCUGACUUUGAUCUCUGCCUCAGGUAGCCAUCAAUCUUGGCGAGGAGCUGAUGGGAGGCUGCUCCCUCGCAGAUCGGGCUUGCUCAGACUGAGACUGUCUCCUCACUUUGACAGACCGCUGGCAUGACACGCCAAACAAUCACAGCGCUACAUUUCCCCAACAAAUCCUCCGAGGUGUUUUUGUUUCAAUUUUCCACUUGGUCUGAUUUUUAUUCUCCGAUGUAUCGGUUCUAUUUUACUCUUUUUUUUCUUUUCUUUUUAAUUAAGAGAGAAGGAACCGGGUGCUGUACGAUAGGAAUGCGGGCAGGGAGGGGGCAGAGAGGGCAUGUUUUGGUGAGGUUCAAAGAUGAAAUGAGCGAGUCUCUGAGGCUUUGAUGUUUCUUGGCAGGCCCGAGACAGUCACUGACAAUCCGAUGAUCUGGGAGAACAACCUUUUUUGAAUCUCUGGCCCAUCCUGGCCCCAGUCGUCUAGCCCUCCAGUGACAAAAGCUUUAAUAUGACAAGGUUAAACACCUGAAGCACUGCGGCACAAUGGUCAGGACAAAGCUGGGGUCAGGGGUGCAACCUAAAUGCCAGGCACCUUAGAAGUUUACCAUGACUGUUCACUCAUUCAUGGAUGUUUUACACAGCAGUUCUCCUCUUUGUUCUUAAAUGGAUUCUUGGUGAGAAAAAAAGUUGAUGUUUAUUUGAACAGGAAUUGAAUCUGCUACUGUAUACUCAAUAUUUUACAUCAUAUAUACUUCUAUUUGAAAGGCGUAGCUUGUCAUGCCAAACCUUGAGAGAAUUGUGGCCUCUUUUAACAGGUUGUUUUCAUUUUCAGGCCAAUCUGGUUCAUUCCCACCGAGCAACGCGUAGUGUUCACACAAAAAAACUGCUCCGUACUAAGCGGCAGACAGACAAACGUAGUGACCAGUUUGUGAAGAAUAGUGCGACAUUUAGCCGCAAAAGAGUCAGACAGCAAUCUGUCAGGAGUUGGUAGAGACCAAAAGCAGAGCAAAAAAAUGGAUUAUUAGACUUAUAGUUUCAUCAGGCAGACUCUUGCAACUGUUUGAUAAAAAUGCUGUAAUAGUAUAAAUGGUGAUAAUUUGUCAUUACUAUAUUCACAACUAGCCAAAAAUAAAAACAACUAAUUAAUAAUUAUUAUAAUAAUAUAUUAUAUUGUGUGUAUGUAGUUAUUUCGAGGUAUUAAAAAGAGAUAAAUCCCAGGAAAGUUGGGACACUGAUUACUUUCAGUCCUUAUUUGUUAAAUUUCUGCUUUCUCCCUCCCAGCAAACUUCAACCAGCUGCCUCUUUUUUUUAAACGUUUGUGUUUAUGGUGCACUGACUGAGGAAUGUUCCCAUUUGCUCCCAUGCUCCAUGAUGUAAAAAAACCCCCACAUGAUACAUACAAUAGACAUAUCUUAAUAUCAGUUUGCUCUCUCAAAAUGUUUUCUUUGAGUGACGCUGUCAUUUGAUAGGCAGCGUAGUGCACUGCUCGGCGCUGCGGGGCCAUUGUGUCCUAUUUUAGUCACAAUGGAACUCAACACUUGACAGAGCCAGGGCUUGUUGUCAGGAGCUGAACUUGAUCCUGUCAAGUCUUCCCACUGGAGAGCUAUGAAGGAAGGGCUUUGACCUCACGGCUGUGCAAGCUCUACAUCAGGCCACAUAUUAAUGCGCUAUUCAAAGGAUAUUCAUAUAAUAUACUUGCCUGUACUUGUACAUGAACGUGUCAUUUUUCUUUUGUUCGUUUUUUAUCCUCACAAGACCCACUCACUGAUGUGAGAUAAUGGCGGGUGAUUGUGUGCCCACUGUUCUCCAGAGCUGUGCACCUUCCCAGACGGCCCCUCCUGCUGCCCAGGCCACCGAGGCUUGUCGUCCCCAUCACCUCUGGCAUUUCAAACUGACGCUUGCCUCGCACACUGUUGCCCUGCAGACCACAAAAGCUGGUUCACGUUACCCAGAGGGACAGGUAACUUCAGAUGGAUAAUCCUUGGACCUGGUGAACCUGUCCUUAAUAGGACCUACAGUCUAAGCUUGGCAACCCUGAGCCAUGUGCAUUGUGUGUUGAUUGGGUGUGCAUGUGUGACUCCCCUGGGCAAAUCACUGUCCGUUCUGCACUUCUCAUAUUGUUUUCUUGUCUAAACAUAUGCAGCCUGUUAAACCUGCUGGGCCUUUCUCAAGAGAUUGUGGGAACUGUGUGAAUUGCGUUUGAACAUUGUUUCUCGUGGCGGUUUAAUGACCUGCAUGUUGUCUCUGCCGUCCUCAUAUGUUUCCUCGCAGAGGGCCUGCGGUAGAUGUUCUUUGAUAGACUGCAGCAACGCAAAGUCAGAUUCCAUCUUCAGAUGUCUCCUUAGAGGUCGUUAAAAACAGACAGUUAACACACCCAGCAGCCCUACCAGCUCCCGAUGCCACUCCCCCAGCUGUUUUUGACCUCAGAUGAACUCAUGUGCCAUCCCGGCCACCAGGCCUGGCAGGAUUCUCACACUGGGAGCGAGACAACUGUCUCCCUCCCAGCCACUCCUCCAGCCACUGCCACCUUCUUGUCGCCCCACUGAUCCAUGCCAGCUUCCAGCUUUUGUUUUUCUACCCGCCCUCCCUUGGUACUGGGGGCAAGAUUUACAGUGGAAAAAUAUAGGACGUUUUCCCCCCAUGUUGAGCUGUUGAGUCUGGAAUGUGUGUUUGGGCAAGAUUUUGCAAGGAGUGUGAAAAAACAACAGCACUGUAAACACCGAGGGUAGAACCAGACUGGCUUCUUUGUUCCAGAUGUGCAGCAGGCACACACACACACAAACACACACACACACUAUUAGUGCAGCUCCUGCAGCCAAACAUGGGUCUGUAACCCAAUACACUGCCACUACUGUCCCACUGCUCGUCCAUCAGCUGGGCGCUCACUGCAUCCAUAUAGACAGGUUACUGUGCGAGUCGGCAGCACUUUGAAUGAGGGCAAACUGUGUGUGUGUGUGUGUGUGUGUGUGUGUAGAGUCAGAAUUGGUACCAAAUGCGGAUUUUGAGCCGCAACCAGACGACUGAGGAAGUUUAAAAAAAAAUAAAAAAUCAACAAUGUAUAAUUUAGACAUAUGACCGUAAAUGAAGCCAUUCAAAUCAGACGGGCCGCGUGACACCGG
ensembl:lncRNA